GAGAGAGACAGAGGUGAGUCUUGGUAGGGAAGCCGGGGCAACAUCAGCCUCCUCUAAAGUCAACCUCGGUGAAGUCAUGCUUGGGAAAAGUCCCAUCUUCUACGUUUUCAUCUUCUGCACAGGGGUCUCUUUGGAUGUAAUUUUGGAACAAGUAGACCAAAUAACUGUCUCAGAUGGGAACUCUGCCAAAUUCUACUGCACUGUAACAGGAGGGGACUUGAAGAACUAUCAAAUGAGCUGGUAUAAGAAGAGUGAAGACAAUGCUCUGAUUUUAGUAUACAACCUAAAUAAUAGUUCUCCUGACGAUCCAAUGGGUAAUUUCAAAGGGGAAAUUGACGCUUCAAAAAGUCAGUUUAUACUUGGCAUUGAAAAGGCAACUAUGAAAGACAUCGGUACUUACUACUGUGGGUCAGAUAUCACAGUGCUGCAGUUGCUGCUCCUGACCGCUUCAAGAAAGUCUAGGGUCAAACCAAGGCAGCAGACCCAAUAACAGACCAUCUCAGGCUGAACUCCGCACCACAUCUGAGAUGGGACCUCCUGAUUACAUCAACAGUCACCUCUGAUAAGAGAGACUGGAGCUGAGUUGGGGCAAGGCCUGAUCCUUGAGGUUUCUAUGCCAGUUGACGAGAGAAGAAAGGGUUGCUAAGAGUUUGUGUGGAGAGACCAGCAGGCCCUCAACCUUUGCUGCCUACAGGACCCUCGUAUUGAAAUGUCAAGGUGACAAGCAGAAUGUCUUCCAUCAUGAGUGCUGUAGCUCAUCGGAAGCUUUCCGGUGCAGAAACCAGAUAAAGCAAAGAUUGUUUUCCA